UAGGGAAUCUUCGGCAAUGGGGGCAACCCUGACCGAGCAACGCCGCGUGAGUGAAGAAGGUUUUCGGAUCGUAAAGCUCUGUUGUAAGAGAAGAACGUGUGUGAGAGUGGAAAGUUCACACAGUGACGGUAACUUACCAGAAAGGGACGGCUAACUACGUGCCAGCAGCCGCGGUAAUACGUAGGUCCCGAGCGUUGUCCGGAUUUAUUGGGCGUAAAGCGAGCGCAGGCGGUUUAAUAAGUCUGAAGUUAAAGGCAGUGGCUUAACCAUUGUUCGCUUUGGAAACUGUUAAACUUGAGUGCAGAAGGGGAGAGUGGAAUUCCAUGUGUAGCGGUGAAAUGCGUAGAUAUAUGGAGGAACACCGGUGGCGAAAGCGGCUCUCUGGUCUGUAACUGACGCUGAAGCUCGAAAGCGUGGGGAGCAAACAGG
rnacentral:rRNA from 1 species